rnacentral:lncRNA from 1 species
AAUUUUAUUAAAUCAUGUGCCCAAUUAAAGUGCCCCACUUUUGGCGGACGGAGGGAGUAUAUAUUAUGCCACAAUUCUUUCCCCAUUAAAUUUUGCUUUCAUUUUUUCCACCCUAUUUUUAUUUCUCAUUCCUCAUUUACGUUUUUCUCAAUUAUUAUCAAAAUCAGUCAAAAAAUCAAUUAAAUGUGAUGGAAAAGGUGGUUGAAGGAGAAUUGACAAUUAGUCCUAAAAUUACUUUUUUUAUCUGAUUGGAUUGUUUUUUUUUUUUUUUUGUAAGAUAGUAAAUGAGAAACAAAAUCCACAAAAAAUGGAUGGAUUCGUUUGUUUUGUUUUGUUUUAUCUGAUCUGCAUUCUCAUGGCAGUUGAAGCUUUUAUCUGAUCUGCAUUCUUAUGCCAGAACUGUAUUGUUUGGCUGUUGAAGCUUUUUUUUUUAUCUGCAUCCGCAUAAAAUGGAUGGAUUGUUUUGUUUUAUCUAAUCCGCAUUCUCAUGGCUGUUGAAGCUUUUUUUUUUCCCCUAGCUGUUGAAGCUAUUAUUUGUUAACUUUUCGAUUUGAGGCUACAGGGAUAAAACAAUAAUUAACAAUAAUUUUAAUAUGUUUUAAAUAAAAGGG